rnacentral:rRNA from 1 species
UACGAAGGGGGCUAGCGUUGCUCGGAAUCACUGGGCGUAAAGCGCACGUAGGCGGAUCUUUAAGUCAGGGGUGAAAUCCUGGAGCUCAACUCCAGAACUGCCUUUGAUACUGGGGAUCUCGAGUCCGGAAGAGGUGAGUGGAACUCCGAGUGUAGAGGUGAAAUUCGUAGAUAUUCGGAAGAACACCAGUGGCGAAGGCGGCUCACUGGGCCGGUACUGACGCUGAGGUGCGAAAGCGUGGGGAGCAAACAGG